rnacentral:rRNA from 1 species
UAGUCAACAUGCCCAGGGGACGUGGAUAACCUCGGGAAACUGAGGAUAAACCGCGAUAGGUCAUCACUUCUGGAAUGGGUAAUGACUUAAAUCUAUAUGGCCCCUGGAUUGGACUGCGGCCGAUCAGGCUGUUGGUGAGGUAAUGGCCCACCAAACCUGUAACCGGUACGGGCUCUGAGAGGAGGAGCCCGGAGAUGGGCACUGAGACAAGGGCCCAGGCCCUAUGGGGCGCAGCAGGCGCGAAACCUCUGCAAUAGGCGAAAGCUUGACAGGGUUACUCUGAGUGAUUUCCGUUAAGGAGAUCUUUUGGCACCUCUAAAAAUGGUGCAGAAUAAGGGGUGGGCAAGUCUGGUGUCAGCCGCCGCGGUAAUACCAGCACCCCGAGUGGUCGGGACGUUUAUUGGGCCUAAAGCAUCCGUAGCCGGUUCUACAAGUCUUCCGUUAAAUCCACCUGCUUAACAGAUGGGCUGCGGAAGAUACUAUAGAGCUAGGAGGCGGGAGAGGCAAGCGGUACUCGAUGGGUAGGGGUAAAAUCCGWUGAUCCAUUGAAGACCACCAGUGGCGAAGGCGGCUUGCCAGAACGCGCUCGACGGUGAGGGAUGAAAGCUGGGGGAGCAAACCGGAUUAGAUACCCGGGUAGUCCCAGCUGUAAACGAUGCAGACUCGGUGAUGAGUUGGCUUAUUGCUAACUCAGUGCCGCAGGGAAGCCGUUAAGUUUGCCGCCUGGGGAGUACGGUCGCAAGACUGAAACUUAAAGG